AUUGAACGCUGGCGGCAUGCCUUACACAUGCAAGUCGAACGGCAGCACGGGUGCUUGCACCUGGUGGCGAGUGCCGAACGGGUGAGUAAUACAUCGGAACGUACCUUAUCGUGGGGGAUAACGCAGCGAAAGUUGCGCUAAUACCGCAUACGCCCUGAGGGGGAAAGCGGGGGACCGUAAGGCUUCGCGCGAUUAGAGCGGCCGAUGUCUGAUUAGCUUGUUGGUGAGGUAAAAGCUCACCAAGGCGAUGAUCAGUAGCUGGUCUGAGAGGACGAUCAGCCACACUGGGACUGAGACACGGCCCAGACUCCUACGGGAGGCAGCAGUGGGGAAUUUUGGACAAUGGGGGCAACCCUGAUCCAGCAAUGCCGCGUGAGUGAAGAAGGCCUUCGGGCUGUAAAGCUCUUUUGUCAGGGAAGAAACAGCAGCUCUAACACAGUCUGCGAAUGACGGUACCUGAAGAAUAAGCACCGGCUAACUACGUGCCAGCAGCAGCCGCAG
rnacentral:rRNA from 1 species